GCCGAUGUGGUGGAAUGGCAGACACGGUGGACUCAAAAUCCACUUUUGGCAACAAAGUGCGGGUUCAAGUCCCGCCAUCGGCACCA
rnacentral:tRNA from 1 species